rnacentral:rRNA from 1 species
ANNGCAGGGGGGCGGCCUAAACAUGCAAGUCGAGCGGUAACAGAUCUAGCUUGCUAGAUGCUGACGAGCGGCGGACGGGUGAGUAAUGCAUAGGAAUCUGCCCGGUAGUGGGGGAUAACCUGGGGAAACCCAGGCUAAUACCGCAUACGUCCUACGGGAGAAAGGGGGCUUCGGCUCCCGCUAUUGGAUGAGCCUAUGUCGGAUUAGCUCGUUGGUGAGGUAAAGGCUCACCAAGGCAACGAUCCGUAGCUGGUCUGAGAGGAUGAUCAGCCACAUCGGGACUGAGACACGGCCCGAACUCCUACGGGAGGCAGCAGUGGGGAAUAUUGGACAAUGGGGGCAACCCUGAUCCAGCCAUGCCGCGUGUGUGAAGAAGGCCUUCUGGUUGUAAAGCACUUUCAGCGAGGAAGAACGCCUANUGGUUAAUACCCAUUAGGAAAGACAUCACUCGCANAAAAAGCACCGGGUAACUCCCUGCCA